GGGCUUACUGGUAGAGUCGAAGGCAGGGGCUGUGCCAUCAGCCCCACUGUCCUGCAUGGGAAACACCUCCACAAACUCCUUCUUGAAGACAGACGGCACCUGAAGGAUUUCCAGGAUCUUCAGCUUGGUCUCCAUCACCACAAUGUCCUCAUUCUCCUCAAACUUGCUUCUGUCCAGCGGCUCAGCAGCACUGGCCCCAGCAGACAGGCUGGGGGCACUGAAGACGGACUGCUUGCGGCU
rnacentral:lncRNA from 1 species